rnacentral:rRNA from 1 species
GAUGAACGCUGGCGGCGUGCCUAAUACAUGCAAGUCGAGCGAACAGAUGAGGAGCUUGCUCCUCUGACGUUAGCGGCGGACGGGUGAGUAACACGUGGAUAACCUACCUAUAAGACUGGGAUAACUUCGGGAAACCGGAGCUAAUACCGGAUAAUAUAUUGAACCGCAUGGUUCAAUAGUGAAAGAUGGUUUUGCUGUCACUUAUAGAUGGAUCCGCGCCGCAUUAGCUAGUUGGUAAGGUAACGGCUUACCAAGGCAACGAUGCGUAGCCGACCUGAGAGGGUGAUCGGCCACACUGGAACUGAGACACGGUCCAGACUCCUACGGGAGGCAGCAGUAGGGAAUCUUCCGCAAUGGGCGAAAGCUUGACGGAGCAACGCCGCGUGAGUGAUGAAGGUCUUCGGAUCGUAAAACUCUGUUAUUAGGGAAGAACAAAUGUGUAAGUAACUAUGCACGUCUUGACGGUACCUAAUCAGAAAGCCACGGCUAACUACGUG